rnacentral:piRNA from 1 species
UCCUCUUUCCCUGAGAGCUAUUUUUAAGCCU